rnacentral:lncRNA from 1 species
CUGUCCGGUAGCUGGUCACUCUCGGGGGAAGGUCGUGUGCAGAAGGGCACAUGCGAUCACACAGAGACGGCGUUGCUGCGGCUUUGACCCGAUGGUGCACCCGAAAGAACACAGAGGGUGAAGGGAGAGAUCCAGGAAGUGGUCGCGGAGCAGAACCCCCCUUCACUUCAGUUAAAAAGGAUCCCCUCCAGAAUACCACAUUACAGUUAAUUGUUAUGUCUCCUUAGUCUCCCCUUGGCUGUGUCAGUUUCACAUACUUUCUUUGUUUUUGAUGAUAUAGAUGUGAAGAGUACUAGCCAGGAAUAUUAUAGGUAUUGGGUUUUUUAAAUGUAUGUGUCAUUUCAUGAUUAAAAAUCAGUUGCGGCCAGGUGUGGUGGCUCAGCACUUUGGGAGGCUAAGGUGGGAGGAUUGCUUGAGGCCAGGAGUUCAAGACCAGCCUGGCCAAUGUGGCAAAAUCCCAUCUCUGCUAAAAAUACAAAAAAUAUAGCUGGGCACGGUGGCACACACCUGUAAUCCCAACUACUCGGGAGGCUGAAGCACAAGGAUUGUUUGAACCUGGGAGGUGGAGGUUGUAGUGAGCCAAGAUUGUGCCACUGCAU